rnacentral:rRNA from 1 species
GAUGAACGCUAGCGACAGGCUUAACACAUGCAAGUCGAGGGGCAGCAUAAAAGUAGCAAUACUUUGGUGGCGACCGGCGCACGGGUGAGUAACGCGUAUGCAACCUACCUAUCAGAGGGGGAUAACCCGGCGAAAGUCGGACUAAUACCGCAUAAAACAGGGGCACCGCAUGGUGCUAUUUGUAAAAAUUAUUGCUGAUAGAUGGGCAUGCGUUCCAUUAGGUAGUUGGAGAGGUAACGGCUCACCAAGCCUACGAUGGAUAGGGGAACCUGAGAGGUUUGGUCCCCCACACUGGUACUGAGACACGGACCAGACUCCUACGGGAGGCAGCAGUGAGGAAUAUUGGUCAAUGGGCGAGAG